rnacentral:rRNA from 1 species
UACGUAGGGUGCAAGCGUUGUUCGGAGUUACUGGGCGUAAAGAGUGCGUAGGCGGUCCUGUAAGUUUGGUGUGAAAUCUCCCGGCUCAACUGGGAGGGUGCGCCGAAGACUGCAGGGCUUGAGUAUGGGAGAGGUAAGCGGAAUUCCUGGUGUAGCGGUGAAAUGCGUAGAUAUCAGGAAGAACACCCGUGGCGAAGGCGGCUCCCUGGGACGGUACUGACGCUGAGACGCGAAAGCGUGGGGAGCGAACAGG